CUUUAAAAAUCUGGAUCAAGCUGAAAAUUGAAACGACACACGAAAGUGUGUUCGAGUCUCUCAAAUUUUCGCGACACGAUGAUGUUUUACGAAACAUCUUCGG
rnacentral:sRNA from 1 species